CAUAAGUUUAUUUUUCAGUUCUUAGAUACGGUGUUUUGACUCUUUAUCUAAUUUGAAAAUUUUUUGCGAUUAAUAUUUUUUUUGUUACUAAAUGGUAAAAUAUGAAUAGUACUUUAUGUGUGACUAAUUUUUUUAAAGUUUUUUAUAAAUUUUUUAAAUAAGAUGAAUGAUAAAAUGUUGGACACAGAAAUC
rnacentral:pre_miRNA from 1 species